AGAAUCAACGCUGGCGGCGUGCCUAACACAUGCAAGUCGAACGAGAACGGGUAGCAAUACCUUAGUAAAGUGGCGCACGGGUGAGUAACACGUGACUAACCUACCCUGGAGUGGGGGAUAACUGAGAGAAAAUCUUAGCUAAUACCGCAUAACACCUACGGGUCAAAGGAGCAAUUCGCUUCAGGAGGGGGUCGCGGCAGAUUAGAUAGUUGGCGGGGUAAUGGCCCACCAAGUCAGUGAUCUGUA
rnacentral:rRNA from 1 species